rnacentral:rRNA from 1 species
UCCCGGAUGUUAGCGGCGGACGGGUGAGUAACACGUGGGUAACCUGCCUGUAAGACUGGGAUAACUCCGGGAAACCGGAGCUAAUACCGGAUAGUUCCUUGAACCGCAUGGUUCAAGGAUGAAAGACGGUUUCGGCUGUCACUUACAGAUGGACCCGCGGCGCAUUAGCUAGUUGGUGGGGUAAUGGCUCACCAAGGCGACGAUGCGUAGCCGACCUGAGAGGGUGAUCGGCCACACUGGGACUGAGACACGGCCCAGACUCCUACGGGAGGCAGCAGUAGGGAAUCUUCCGCAAUGGACGAAAGUCUGACGGAGCAACGCCGCGUGAGUGAUGAAGGUUUUCGGAUCGUAAAGCUCUGUUGUUAGGGAAGAACAAGUGCGAGAGUAACUGCUCGCACCUUGACGGUACCUAACCAGAAAGCCACGGCUAACUACGUGCCAGCAGCCGCGGUAAUACGUAGGUGGCAAGCGUUGUCCGGAAUUAUUGGGCGUAAAGGGCUCGCAGGCGGUUUCUUAAGUCUGAUGUGAAAGCCCCCGGCUCAACCGGGGAGGGUCAUUGGAAACUGGGAAACUUGAGUGCAGAAGAGGAGAGUGGAAUUCCACGUGUAGCGGUGAAAUGCGUAGAGAUGUGGAGGAACACCAGUGGCGAAGGCGACUCUCUGGUCUGUAACUGACGCUGAGGAGCGAAAGCGUGGGGAGCGAACAGGAUUAGAUACCCUGGUAGUCCACGCCGUAAACGAUGAGUGCUAAGUGUUAGGGGGUUUCCGCCCCUUAGUGCUGCAGCUAACGCAUUAAGCACUCCGCCUGGGGAGUACGGUCGCAAGACUGAWACUCAMAGGAAUUGACGGGSGCCCGCACAAGCGGUGGAGCAUGUGGUUUAAUUCSAAGCAACGCGAAGAACCUUACCAGGUCUUGACAUCCUCUGACAACCCUAGAGAUAGGGCUUUCCCUUCGGGGACAGAGUGACAGGUGGUGCAUGGUUGUCGUCAGCUCGUGUCGUGAGAUGUUGGGUUAAGUCCCGCAACGAGCGCAACCCUUGAUCUUAGUUGCCAGCAUUCAGUUGGGCACUCUAAGGUGACUGCCGGUGACAAACCGGAGGAAGGUGGGGAUGACGUCAAAUCAUCAUGCCCCUUAUGACCUGGGCUACACACGUGCUACAAUGGACAGAACAAAGGGCUGCAAGACCGCAAGGUUUAGCCAAUCCCAUAAAUCUGUUCUCAGUUCGGAUCGCAGUCUGCAACUCGACUGCGUGAAGCUGGAAUCGCUAGUAAUCGCGGAUCAGCAUGCCGCGGUGAAUACGUUCCCGGGCCUUGUACACACCGCCCGUCACACCACGAGAGUUUGCAACACCCG